UGUAUACAAAAAUAUGUUAUGUUUAAAAAUGAAACAAUUGUUUGAUUAAAUUUUAAUCUUUUUGAUUGGAUAAAACAAAUUAUUUCUGAUAGAUAUUUCUUAAAUGAGAAACAAUUGUUGGAGUGAAUCAAUAUUUUUUUGUUUAGGAUUUAACAUACGAUUUAAAUGUAUUAACUUCAUUCAAAGAAUAGAAUUAUACUUGGUGCCAAGUUGUAUUAUUUUGUUUUUAUGAACAUAGGAAAUAUUGUUUGAGGCAAGCUAUAUAUUUGUCAUUGGCUCAAGUUAUGUAAUAUAGAUGUGAACCAUUACCCUACAUUUUUUUAAUUGGUUCAAUGAAAGACUUUUUCCAGUGUAGAUCGGUCAAACGAGUGGGCGCGUCGUUGGAUACCUGACUCUCUCACGCGGGAAGGCAAAACAGAUUUAGCCAUGUCCAACGGCAACAGCAGCAGUAACAUUGCUUCGGAUGAGUUGGAUGACACUGCACAGGUCUGGAACACACACACCAUCAGGCCAUCGAAAAACCUUAACCUCCCCAGCGUUCGGCCGAACGUGAUGUUUGCAUUACCUGAACUCUAUGGGACAAGAGACUUCCUUUCCCAAAUUGAAGAUGGUGAUUUUCAAUUGUGCAAAAAUGAAUGUAUCUUCCGCCAGACCAAACCGUUUGAUCCAGAUCUAUAUGAACUAUGCAACAUCUUUAUGGCUGAUUCCAAUCUCACUCUAGCAACAGCUCCAUAUCAGGCAGUGAAUUUGUACAUGCACCUCAGAGAGGCCAUCAGGGCAUGUGUGUAGGUCAGACGUGUUUAGUUGUGUCUUGUGUUGAGCUUCGAAGUGGCAGGAUUUUUUGGUCACAUAAGUAAUUCACCUUGCUGUCCUUUUCCUUUAUAAGUUUCCUUUAAAGUCAUAGCUCAACAUCUCUAGCUUUUGGCAAAUGUUAUAUUCCUUUAAACGAUAGUUUAGAAACACAGAAAUGAGGGGGGGCUUUAUAGACAAAGCCUGUAAAAAGUAAAUCAAAUGGGUAUAAAUUUCAGAACUUUACUUUUAACAAAUGUAUCACUUUUUUCAGUUAGAUUUGUAUUUAACAAAAAAGGUAACUGGCUUCAGUAACUAAAUGUGAAUACUUAUUCUGAGUCUUUCAUGAUAGAAUAUCAUUGGAUUUCAAAUGUUGGGACCAAAAAAAUGGAUGUAUCUAUCGAACUCUGAACUUCUGAUGGCCAAUCAGUACAAACAUUGACAUGUUACCGACAGAAAAGCAUUUUGAAAUUAUCUGUGCAUUUACAACCUGUUGUUUCAAAUACUGAGAGAGUGUUAAAAAACGACAACACACGCUAUUCAUGUUUUUGUUGUGACUGGAACUUUUUAAUUACUGUAAUUAUAUUGCUAUCCCGUAUGUGGAACUCUGAAUAAACAAAAAAUCGCCAGACAAGUUUGGUGCUGUUUCCUGAUAUUUUCAGGCCAUAUUUUUCACUGGCCACAUUAGCUUGAUGAAAAACGUAACAAUGAAUUAAUAAUUGUACUUGUUCAAGAACAAUUGACUUAAUUGUUCUUGUAAUCAGACUAGUAUUACUUUUCAUACCAUGACAAGUUCCUGCAGUCUUCUUCUUAAUGUCACAUGAUGUUGCUGUGGUGUCAAGACAGCUGAUUGUAUACAGCAGUGGGUGCGGUCGUCCUGCCGGUUCAAGUAGGAUGACCUGAAACCUGUAUAAAAUCAGCUGUCUUGACACCACAGCAACAUCAUGUGACAUUUAGAAGAAGACUGCAGGAACAUUAACAAUCAAAACAUGUCAGGGUAUGAAAAGUAAUACUAGUUGUAUAUUAUGUACACUAUCUAUUAUUAACUAGUUAGUUUCGUCGUCUGAGACGUCUCGCUAGCCUUCGUGACACUCCUCUGGGAUCGAGCCCUUUCAACAACAACCGCACAUCCUCUUUCCUCACACGCAGUCCAUGCUCCCUGCAUUUAGCGUACAUCCAUCGGUACCCGUGAAGCU